rnacentral:rRNA from 1 species
AACAAACGCUGGCGGCGCGUUUUAAGCAUGCAAGUCGGACGGCAAGCACUGUAGCAAUAUGGUGCCUAGAGUGGCGAACGGGUGAGUAACACGUAGGUGAUCUACCCUUGGAUGGGGGAUAGUCCGUGGAAACACGGGGUAAAACCGCAUGAGGCCUUGUGGGUGGAGCCAUGAGGUGAAAGGUGCAAUUGCACCGUCUGGGGAUGAGCCUGCGGUCCAUUAGGUAGUUGGCGGGGUAAGAGCCCACCAAGCCGACGAUGGAUAGCCGGCCUGAGAGGACGAUCAGCCACACUGGAACUGAGACACGGUCCAGACUCCUACGGGUGGCAG